GGAAGGAGUUCUGGUUGCUGGUAAAGGUUUUUUUUAAGAGCAAGGAGAACCUGAGUGUCUCAGAAAGGCUUUCUGGACACUUACAUGACUUAUUAGUCUAGGCCACAAAGUCAGUUGUUUAUGCAUGAAAAGUCAGGGGGCAAGCCAGCUGUAUGAUCUCAUUGGCUGAGAACUGGAGAUAAGCUGUGUGAGUGGAGGAAGCAUGUUGGUGCUGAUGAAAGUGCAAUCAGUGGGUGUGUUUACAGUUAUAUCCUAGAGAAACCAGCUACUUCUGUAAAUAUUCCCCUCCCUCUAUUCAAAGUGCCCUUUACUCAAUGAUGGGAAAUGUGCAGUCUGCUCUAGUAAUAAGUACAGCUGCUGUUUUUUCUCUCUCUUCCUCCAGAUUGUUCUCUUCUCUCUUCUUAUUUAAUAAGCUGAUGGACACUGGGUCCCGUGGAACUGAGAUGGGCUGGGCAUAAAUCCAUAGAGCGGUCAUUGCAGACUAUCUGUUUUCUGGACCCCAAUGCAUAGGCCCAGCUGCUGAGCUGCCCCAACUUUGUGCAAGUCUGAGUAAAUACCACUGAUUCCCACUGAUGGAUGGACACUGGGGGAGGGCUCAGGACCCAUGAAUGUCUGGGUGGAAGAUCAUGUGUAAUCCCUGGUGCUGGACUUCCACCAUGUGACACACAGGUGUAACACAUAAAAGUGGACCUUAAACAUCCUCAUGUGCCUAUGACUCUAGCAUUUGUGAAAACUCAUGAAUGAGAUUCUCUUACCUUCUGAGCAUAUUUCUUGAUUCUCCCAUUUAUGCAUACAUUGUACUUUUAGGAUCAGAUGCUUGGCUAUAACUUCCUGUUGUUUUUCCUUGAUUAUGAUUCAUAUUGUGCCCCUGGAAUCAUGGCUGUACGCUUCCUUGGGAAGACGUUUCACCUAGUUGCAGAUUCCUAUAGAUCACCUAAGCCUUAAUCUACAGCUCUCCUGUUGGGGCUUUCUGGGCCUCAGGAACUGGAGAUGGGUAGAAGAGACCAUUUGAACAGAUAGGAUAAGUCCUUAAUGAAAGUCAAUGCCCUACGUUGCUAGUAUAUCAGAUACUUUUGCCCCUAAAUUACUAUAUACCAAAUAUUUGUGUGUAUGUGGGAUAAGCCCUUUCAGCUUAUUAAAAGUACAGAGCCCUAAGACCUACUGAAGCAGAAUGUUUAAAAAAUAGUUUUCUGGAGUUCCUGUCGUGGCGCAGUGGUUAACGAAUCCGACUAGGAACCAUGAGGUUGCGGGUUCGGUCCCUGCCCUUGCUCAGUGGGUUAAGGAUCCGGCGUUGCCGUGAGCUGUGGUGUAGGUUGCAGACGCGGCUCGGAUCCCGCGUUGCUGUGGCUCUGGCGUAGGCCGGUGGCUACAGCUCCGAUUCGACCCCUAGCCUGGGAACCUCCAUAUGCCGCGGGAGAGGCCCAAGAAAUAGCAACAACAACAACAACAACAAAAAGACAAAAAGACAAAAGACAAAAAAAAAAAAAAAAAA
rnacentral:lncRNA from 1 species